rnacentral:rRNA from 1 species
AAACCAACAGGGAUUGCCUCAGUAACGGCGAGUGAAGCGGCAAAAGCUCAAAUUUGAAAUCUAACACUUUCAGUGUUCGAGUUGUAAUUUGAAGAAAGUUUCUCUGAGUAGUCCUUUAUCUAUGUUCCUUGGAACAGGACGUCAUAGAGGGUGAGAAUCCCGUAUGAUUUUGGAUACUAUUCUUUGUGAGAUUCUUUCGAAGAGUCGAGUUGUUUGGGAAUGCAGCUCUAAGUGGGUGGUAAAUUCCAUCUAAAGCUAAAUAUUGGCGAGAGACCGAUAGCGAACAAGUACAGUGAUGGAAAGAUGAAAAGAACUCUGAAGAGAGAGUGAAAAAGUACGUGAAAUUGCUGAAAGGGAAGGGCUUUAGGUCAGACUUGGUGUUUAAAUGAUUAUCUUCUCUUUUUGAGUUGUGCACUCGUUUUUCACUGGGCCAAUAUCAGUUUUUGUGGUAGAGCACCUACUGGAAUGUAGCUUUUCUUCGGAUGAGUGUUAUAGCCUUUAGACGUAUCUU